GUCAACCACCCCUGUCUGAUGACAGAGGCUUGUGAAAGCAAGCCGGUUGACCAGCCUAAGUGAUCCGCAAGGAGAACUACGUUGCAGUUAGGUGACAAGACCCGCCCCGGGGUGCUUCCUCAGCUCCGGGCUCC
rnacentral:sRNA from 1 species